AACGAACGCUGGCGGCAUGCCUAACACAUGCAAGUCGAACGAGACCUUCGGGUCUAGUGGCGCACGGGUGCGUAACGCGUGGGAACCUGCCCUUAGGUUCGGAAUAACUCCCCGAAAGGGGUGCUAAUACCGGAUAAGCUCUUCGGACCAAAGAUUUAUCGCCUUUGGAUGGGCCCGCGUUGGAUUAGCUGGUUGGUAGGGUAAAAGCCUACCAAGGGGACGAUCCAUAGCUGGUCUGAGAGGAUGGUCAGCCACACUGGGACUGAGACACGGCCCAGACUCCGACGGGAGGCAGCAGUGGGGAAUAUUGGACAAUGGGCGAAAGCCUGAUCCAGCAAUGCCGCGUGAGUGAUGAAGGCGUUAGGGUUGUAAAGCUCUUUUACCCGGGAUGAUAAUGACAGUACCGGGAGAAUAAGCUCCGGCUAACUCCGUG
rnacentral:rRNA from 1 species